AAUAAGUGCAGCCAUGAGUUUUCACGUUCAACUUUGAUCGUCCGUCUUAUUUGAAAUUUUUUUAUAAUUAGCAAUUUUGUUGUUAUAAGAUGAUAAAACAUGAAUAGUACUUUACUCGUGACUUAUGUUUUUAAUUUUUUUCAAAAAUUUUUUAAAUAAGACGAAUGAUUAAAGUUGAGCGCUAAAAACCAUGGCUGCAUUUAUU
rfam:Oryza nivara chromosome 2, whole genome shotgun sequence.